AGUGAACGCUGGCGGUAGGCCUAACACAUGCAAGUCGAACGGCAGCACAGUAAGAGCUUGCUCUUACGGGUGGCGAGUGGCGGACGGGUGAGGAAUACAUCGGAAUCUACUUUUUCGUGGGGGAUAACGUAGGGAAACUUACGCUAAUACCGCAUACGACCUACGGGUGAAAGCAGGGGAUCCUCGGACCUCGCGCGAUUGACUGAGCCGAUGUCGGAUUAGCUAGUUGGCGGGGUAAAGGCCCACCAAGGCGACGAUCCGUAGCUGGUCUGAGAGGAUGAUCAGCCACACUGGAACUGAGACACGGUCCAGACUCCUACGGGAGGCAGCAGUGGGGAAUAUUGGACAAUGGGUGCAAGCCUGAUCCAGCCAUACCGCGUGGGUGAAGAAGGCCUUCGGGUUGUAAAGCCCUUUUGUUGGGAAAGAAAAGCAGCAGGUUAAUACCCCGCUGUUCUGACGGUACCCAAAGAAUAAGCACCGGCUAACUUCGUG
rnacentral:rRNA from 1 species